rnacentral:rRNA from 1 species
GACGAACGCUGGCGGCGUGCUUAACACAUGCAAGUCGAGCGGUAAGGCCCUUUCGGGGGUACACGAGCGGCGAACGGGUGAGUAACACGUGGGUGACCUGCCCUCAGCUCUGGGAUAAGCCUGGGAAACCGGGUCUAAUACCGGAUAUGACUCCAUGACGCAUGUUGUGGGGUGGAAAGCCUUGUGCGGCUGAGGAUGGGCCCGCGGCCUAUCAGCUUGUUGGUGGGGCGAUGGCCUACCAAGGCGACGACGGGUAGCCGGCCUGAGAGGGCGACCGGCCACACUGGGACUGAGACACGGCCCAGACUCCUACGGGAGGCAGCAGUGGGGAAUCUUGCGCAAUGGGCGAAAGCCUGACGCAGCGACGCCGCGUGAGGGAUGACGGCCU